CCUACGGGUGGCAGCAGUGAGGAAUAUUGGUCAAUGGGAGAGAUCCUGAACCAGCCAAGCCGCGUGAGGGAAGACGGCCCUAUGGGUUGUAAACCUCUUUUGUCGGAGAACAAAACCCGGGACGAGUCCCGGACAGCGUGUAUCCGACGAAAAAGCAUCGGCUAACUCCGUGCACGCAGCCGCGGUAAUACGGAGGAUGCGAGCGUUAUCCGGAUUUAUUGGGUUAAAAGGGUGCGUAGGCGGUCUGUUAUGUAAGCGGUAAAAUUGCGGGGCUAAACCCCGGCGAGCCGUUGAAACUGGCAGACUUGAGUGGGCGAGAAGUACGCGGAAUGCGCGGUGUAGCGGUGAAAUGCAUAGAUAUCGCGCAGAACUACGAUUGCGAAGGCAGCGUACCGGCGCCAGACUGACGCUGAGGCACGAAAGCGUGGGGAUCGAACAGGAUUAGAUACCCCAGUAGUC
rnacentral:rRNA from 1 species